UGAGGAAUAUUGGUCAAUGGGCGCAAGCCUGAACCAGCCAUCCCGCGUGCAGGAAGACGGCCCUAUGGGUUGUAAACUGCUUUUCCAGGGGGAGAAUUUUUCUGUCGUGACAGGAAUUGACGGUACCCUGGGAAUAAGCACCGGCUAACUCCGUGCCAGCAGCCGCGGUAAUACGGAGGAUGCGAGCGUUAUCCGGAUUUAUUGGGUUUAAAGGGUGCGUAGGCGGAUUGAUAAGUCAGUGGUGAAAACCUGCAGCUUAACUGUAGACUUGCCGUUGAUACUGUCAGUCUUGAGUGUGGUCAAGGUAGGCGGAAUGUGUAAUGUAGCGGUGAAAUGCUUAGAUAUUACACAGAACACCGAUUGCGAAGGCAGCUUACUGGGCCAUUACUGACGCUGAGGCACGAAGGCGUGGGGAUCGAACAG
rnacentral:rRNA from 1 species